UGAAAAUCCACAAAGCAAACCAUGACAGCUACAUCUUCAAAUCACUUAGAGAUUCUCGCUAUACAUGAGGAAAACAGAGAGUGUGUUUGGUUGAGAUCAAUUAUUCAGCAUAUUCAAAAGUCAUGUGGAUUACUAUCAAUCAAAGACAUUCCUACAAUUCUGUAUGAGGAUAACGCUACAUGCAUUGCUCAACUUAGAGAAGGGUACAUCAAGGAAGAUAGAACAAAGCACAUUUCACCUAAAUUCUUCUUCACACAUGAGUUACAAAAGAAGAGUGAUAUAGAUGUGCAUCAAAUUCGAUCAUGUGAUAAUCUAGCUGACUUAUUCACAAAGUCGCUACCAAAUGCAACGUUUGAAAAUUUUCGAAAAAAGAUCAGAAUGUGUCGACUAAAAGACUUAUGAUAACAUUUCAUCAAAGAGUAAUGAAUUCCUUUUGAGGUGAAGACUGUACUCUUUUUCUUUAGUCACGGUUUUUAUCCCAAUGAUUUUUUCCUGAUAAGGUUUUAACGAGGCAGUCAAUUAAAAGAUAUUUAUGUAAAAGAUAUGUACUCUUUUUCCCUUCGUUAAGUUUUUCCCACUGGUUUUCUUAACAAGAUUUUUAAUGAGACAUACUCUUCUAUAGUAGGGAAUCAUGUGAAGUAUUAUAAACAUGGAUUCCCUCCUAAGGAGGGAACUAAUGCUAGUAUGCUGCUUUUUCUUCUUUCUCUUCCUCCCGUGAAUCCUCUCUUCCUCCCGUGACUCCUCCUUACAUUGCAGAGAAGUGCUGAAUGAAAAUGAAUAAGAAUUCCCUGAAGAAUUUCUCUCUUUUCUCUUACUUAUUCUCUCUAAAUUUAUGCAGCAAUUAUAAGAGUAUCUUUAUACACUUCGCUAAAGUUUUAUAACAGUAUUAGCAUUCUUACUACCCACACGCUUUUUAAUAGAUUUGAUACGUUCUUUGCUUGCCUGUGAUCCCUUGCAACCAAUUCACAAAUCUUAAUACUUUUAUUCCAAUAAACUUCAGUAAGUUUAUCAUUUGUUGUAGCACUAACUAGCUUAGCAACCAUUUUCAUCUAUUUCUUAUUAUACGGACAAAUUAUAAUAACAUAAUAGUGCAGAACCUUUUACCACUAUAUAUGCCCAAAUAAGUUCAAUUAACUUAUAUACCACAUGUUUAUAUAAUACAUUACAACUCAUGAAUUUAUUUCAUGAUUUAAACCAAAUUCUUCAUUUAGGCAUCUUCACAAAUACCUUACAUGCAUACAUUGAAAAAAAUCCAUAUUUCAUGAAAUCAAUGUAUAUAUAAACAUCCUCCAUAACCAAUAUGCAACGUAUAAAUUUUCCUUGUCAAACCUUAUGAUCAUAAAUAUUCACAGUUAACUAAUUACUCAAUUUGAAUCGCUAACUGUGUUUACUUUGUAUAUACCCAAACAAGUAAAUCAAUUAUUGCAAGAUUAUCAUAUAAACUAAAUGUAAUAUAUAAUAAUAUAUACCUUGUUCUUGCUGCAAUUGAUUUCUAAUCCUUCCCCCAAUAAUUGAUAGCUCCAGUUCCUUCUUGGGUCGAAUGAAAAAGGAACAGAGUUGUUUCUUCUUCUUUUUGCUUUGGAACGAAAUAAAACAGAGCUGCUUUUGUUUUAUUUUAUUUUUUUCUUCUUUUCCGAACUCAUCCUUGCUAUAUACUACUACCAUAAUUAGCUUGCAACUUACCCCAAUUCUUCUCAUCUUUAAUUUGAAUCUUAGCCCUUAAUGAAUUUGAUAGGGGGUUUGUAAUAAUACUUGAUGAACUUCUUGUUUUUUUUUUGUUUUUUUUUUCUUUCGGAUAAAAGGGAGCAGAGCUGGUUCAGUUUUCCUUCUCUUUUCAACGGAAGGAAAAAUGGGUCAUGGAGUUUGAAGUAUAGAGAAGGCAGGGAAAUAAAAAAAAUCUCCAGCUCAUGCUUAAACUUAUUGUUAG
rnacentral:lncRNA from 1 species